rnacentral:rRNA from 1 species
GUGUCAGCAGCCGCGGUAAGACAGAGGGUGCAAACGUUGCUCGGAAUUACUGGGCGUAAAGCGCGUGUAGGCGGGUUUCCAAGUCAGAUGUGAAAUCCCCGGGCUCAACCCGGGAACUGCAUUUGAAACUGGGAGUCUUGAGUAUCGGAGAGGAAAGCGGAAUUCCUGGUGUAGAGGUGAAAUUCGUAGAUAUCAGGAGGAACACCGGUGGCGAAGGCGGCUUUCUGGACGAUAACUGACGCUGAGACGCGAAAGCGUGGGGAGCAAACAGGAUUAGAAACCCUAGUAGUCC